UACGGGGGGGGCAAGCGUUGUUCGGAAUUACUGGGCGUAAAGGGCUCGUAGGCGGCCAACUAAGUCAGACGUGAAAUCCCUCGGCUUAACCGGGGAACUGCGUCUGAUACUGGAUGGCUUGAAUCCGGGAGAGGGAUGCGGAAUUCCAGGUGUAGCGGUGAAAUGCGUAGAUAUCUGGAGGAACACCUGAGGCGAAGGCGGGUUGCUAGGCUGAUACUGACGCUGAGGCGCGAAAGCUAGGGUAGCAAACGGG
rnacentral:rRNA from 1 species